UGUUCUAUGGUGUGGUAACUGUGUUUCAUUUAACACAUACUCCGUCCGUUGAGGUGUCUGAAUGAGUGAAUACUGUUCUGAUCCUGGUCUUGUUUGUUAUUGCGCGAGAGGGCCAGAUGGCGAUGAAGGGCUUCGUCCCGCCUACUGGCGCUGUUGAUUGGCGAACUUUCAGGGGAGUAACUCACAUGAUUCCUAUUUUGACUGUGUUUUAACAUGGGCUCGAAGUUGUGUUAACGCGCACGUUGUCGUUUGUAGUAUCCCAGGCAUGAAACUAAGUCAAAGGCUUUCACCGGAAAAUAACUUAAAAUAAACGGGAGUCCCUGACUUGUCAAGUAAUGGUAAUUUAAUGCAGUAUUAGGGUGAGUUUAUGGCAUCAACAAUGUUCCAAUGGUGCAGUCACAGAUAAUGGCAUUUUCAACGUAGCCUACUUGCGUGACAGGAUUUUCCAACUAUGGACGAAAGCUAACGUUAGUCUUCUGAGAUUGGUAAGGAUCAUUUCACUACUUACUGUAUUUAAAAACAUCCACGAUUUCAGCUACGUUAGCUUUUGAGCUAGCUAGCAGGUUCUACGCUACAUAGCCAGCCAACCUGUCAAAGUCAGCAGUGUCGUCAGAACAAAUUGAAGUAACGUUAUCCUUAAAAGAUUAGCUAGGAAGCCAAACUGAUCGUCCCUUGGUAAGUUUGUAUUAAGCACAGAACUUUUACUCAUCCUGUGGUAUAGUCGAAAAGUGAACAUAAUAUACUGGAGGUGAAAAUUAGCAAAAUAAAAAAAAACACUUUCAUAACCUGGAGAUUAGCUCCCGCCCUGUGAUCUCUGUUGACCACUGUUGACUGCCCUGGCGGUGUUUUCACUUCUCCAGCCAAUCUGAGAAGCUCUAAACCACCACAAUGGAUGACACUUCUUUAGCUCUUUCUCAUAAACUCAACCUGUCAACGGGGAACUAUGGUACUUCUCCUUCAACUAUGUCUAUCGACAAGCUGCUACCGGCGCUCCUGGAGUGCUUUGGGAUCAUUCUUUGCGGAUACAUCGCUGGACGGACCAACAUAAUCACAUCCACGCAAGCCAAAGGACUGGGGAACUUUGUAUCAAAGUUUGCCCUCCCUGCUCUACUGUUUAAGAACAUGGUGUUGCUGGACUUUGGUAACGUCAUCUGGCCGUUUCUCUGGAGCAUUCUCAUCGCCAAAGUGUCUGUGUUUUUUGUUGUCUGCGUCCUAACACUGCUCGUUGCCAGUCGUGACACCCGGUUUUCGAAGGCUGGUUUGUUUUCCAUCUUUGCCACCCAAAGCAACGACUUCGCCUUGGGGUAUCCCAUUGUCGACGCCCUGUACAGGAACACUCACCCUGAAUACCUUCAGUACAUCUACCUGGUGGCGCCCGUGUCCCUCAUUCUCCUCAACCCACUGGGCUUUGCCCUCUGUGAGGUGCAGAAGUGGCAGAGCAACCGCGAGCAGCCGCAGAGCAAGCUCCGGGUGGUGGGCACGGUGGCGCUCCAGGUGCUGAAGAACCCCAUCAUCUUCAUGGUGGUUGUGGGACUUGCCGCGCACUUCCUACUGGGCCAGAGGAUCCCGCCGUUCAUGGAGCAGUUUGUGGACGGGCUGGCCAACUCUUUUGGUGGGGCGGCGCUCUUCUACCUGGGCCUGACCAUGGUGGGCCAGAUGAGGAAGCUGACAAGAUCCACAGUUGUGGCGCUGAUUCUCCUCAUCACGGCCAAAUUGUUGGUGAUGCCUCUGAUCUGCAGAGACAUGGUUGAGCUCCUGGACACCGGCAACACCAGUGCGGUGAACCACUCCAGCCUCUCCAACUACGCCUUCCUGUACGGCGUCUUCCCCACUGCCCCCAGCGUGGCCAUCUACGCAGCACAUUACAACAUGGAGCUGGAAGUGGUCACCUCAGGGAUGGUUAUAAGCACAUUUCUCUCAGCGCCAAUCAUGUAUGCCGCUGCCUGGCUCCUCACCAUUCCUUCCAUGGACCCCAGGUCGUCAGUUGCAGCUCUGCAGACCGUCAGCUUCAACAUCAGCAUCAUAGGUUUAUUUGCACUAGUGAGUUAUUUUUUUCUCCCCUUUUCUUCUUUUUAUUAUCCAUUUUCUUCAUAGUUUUAUCAUCAGUAAAUUCAAAUAAGGAAAUAAUUCAGGUUCAAGUCGUGUUGGAAUUGGUAGUAUUUGCACAAGGUGAUGUUGGACAAUUCUGUCAAGGGGGAAUGCUUGGUGUGUGCAUAAAAACGGGAUCUGAAACCAGACCUCUGAUCUAGUACCAGCUGUAUUGAUGCAAUGUAAAGGAAGUGUGAUAUAUUGCAAAUAACUUGUAUAAUGCCUCCUGUUUAAACAACCUCUAAAGCUGUCAAUGUUAUUCUGGGCAGAUUGAAGCGGUUAGUAAAUAUGUUUCUGUAUUUGAGUGUGUAAGUCUGUCGGAGCGGUUGUAUGGAUUCACCACAUAGCCCUGGGUCGCACAGACUUACUUCCCCAUACUGGGUGUGGACAAUCACUGUUAUGUUCCUCAGUAAGAAGUUCAAGAGGUUGCCACAUUUGUUUACUGUGAACUUUUUUUUGGCACAG